UCAGGUAGGAAUACCCGCUGAACUUAAGCAUAUCAAAACCCGGAGGAA
rnacentral:rRNA from 1 species